GUGUCAGCAGCCGCGGUAAUACGAACCGUGCGAACGUUGUUCGGAAUCACUGGGCUUAAAGGGCGCGUAGGCGGGCUGUCCAGUCUGGGGUGAAAUCCCGCGGCUCAACCGUGGAGCUGCCUCAGAUACUGACGGCCUCGAGGGAGAUAGGGGCAUGCGGAACUGUAGGUGGAGCGGUGAAAUGCGUUGAUAUCUACAGGAACUCCGGUGGCGAAGGCGGCGUGCUGGAUCUCUUCUGACGCUGAGGCGCGAAAGCUAGGGGAGCAAACGGGAUUAGAUACCCCGGUAGUCCUAGCCCUAAACGAUGGGUACUAGAUAGUAGGCUAGAUAUGGGCUUACUGUCGAAGCUAAAGUGCUAAGUACCCCGCCUGGGGAGUAUGGUCGCAAGGCUGAA
rnacentral:rRNA from 1 species